rnacentral:lncRNA from 1 species
UGAUUCUUCCCACAAGUAGCGCACUCUCCGCGCUUAGUAUCCGAUUUGGUGUCCUCCACCUUAUCAAAUUUCCUCUUCUUGUCCAUCGGUUUCGUUGGCUGCGAAGGACGCGACGAAAACUUCUCCGGUUUCAUCCGUUUCUCCUCCUCAAGCCCAGCUUCGAUCAUGGCUGCCCUCUCAACCAAUUCGGACACCGAAGUAAAGGUUCGAAUCAAGCAAUGGUUACGGAUCUCGAUCCUUAGUCCUCAGAUGAAACGACGAACUUGAGCUUGUUCAUCCUCGAGUUCUCUCCCCACAUAUCGCCUAAGACGAUUGAACUCUUCGUCAUACUCGCGCACCGUUCGAUUCCCUUGAACCAAAUCCAAGUAGGCGCACUCGAGUCUGUCCCAAGCCUCCGGUGGGAAGAACUUCUUGUUGAAUUCUUCCUCAAAAUCCGCGAAGGAUUGGAUUUGAUCACCUUUCCGUUUCUCGACGGUUAGCCACCAGUUAUGUGCAUCGCCCUCCAAGAAGUGGAUCGCAAUGUCCUUCCGGUAAUCCUCCGGGCAUCGAGUGGAGUUAAAGUUUCUUUUGAGCCGAGUCCUCCACUCAUCC